CCCAACUAUCCCUAUUAAUCAUUACGGUGGUCCUUGAACCAACAAAAUAGAACCACAACGUCCUAUUCUAUUAUUCCAUGCUAAUCUAUUCAAGCAAAAGCCUGCUUUAAACACUCUAAUUUUUUCAAGGUAAUGGUCCUGGCUCCCCGGCACGCCCAAUUAAGAACAUACCGAUUCACCAGAAAGAUAGACCCGACGACAGAACAGUACUCGCCAGAGACGGACCGUCCGGCCAGGCCUAAAAUUCAACUACGAGCUUUUUAACUGCAACAACUUUAAUAUACGCUAUUGGAGCUGGAAUUACCGCGGCUGCUGGCACCAGACUUGCCCUCCAA
rnacentral:misc_RNA from 2 species